CAUAAUAUAGUGUUAAAGAGCCGCGGUAUCCUGACCGUGCAAAGGUAGCAUAAUCAUUAGUUCUUUAAUUGAGAACUUGUAUGAAUGGUCGGACAAGAGAAACCCUGUCUCUGCUAUUAUAGUAGAAUUUAACUUUUAAGUGAAAAGGCUUAAAUUUUUCAAGGGGACGAUAAGACCCUAUAAAGCUUUAUAUAUUAAUUAGAAUUAAUUAAAUUGAGCAUAUAAAAAUUUAGUCUUAAAAAUAUAUUUAGUUGGGGCGACGAAAGUAUAAUUGAUAAUAACUGCUUAAACUUAAUACAAUAAUAAAUGAUUUUUUUUAGUUGAUCCUUUUUAAAGAUUAAAGACCAAGUUACUUUAGGGAUAACAGCGUAAUUUC
rnacentral:rRNA from 1 species